AACUGAAUUGGGAGCAUGUUAUUAGUUGUUAUUAAUCAUACAUAUGGGACUUGGAUAAAACAUAGGAGAAAACCAGCGUUCGGAACCUGGCAUAUGUGGAAUUACCUGAUUUAGCCUUAGGGGCCGUUGUAUUUUUAUACAGUUGUUGUAUUCGGGUUGUGAGUACCCCAGGUAGUUUAGUUUACUGUUACACUCGUGCUGGGAUGCCGAGUUUAUUUUAUAGUCAUGUUUAGACUGUUCUGGACUAGUGGGUGCCGUCGUGGUUGACGGUGGACCCGGAUUUGAUCAUUUUGAGAUUUGAUUGUGCCGAGGGCACGUGGAUAGUGGUUAGUGGUUCAGUGAGACCUAUUGCUUGACUUAGCCUGUGAGGGCAGCCUGAGAUUGACAGUAAUCUCGUUGGGUCGCGCCCACGAGAGCCAUUCCGGAAUGAUGUUUCAGUGCGAUCGGUGUCGCAGUUUCUGUUAAAUAGUUAUGCGCCGGCCACUUGCGGGGUGGUGUACGGCAUAGCUGAUUACAGGCAGAGUGGGUCCGUUUGGACAGCUCAAAUGAGAUUUGUGGUGAAUCAGUUUGAAAUGCGAUUGGGUCAAGUGCAUAUUAGAUACAGUAGGAUAGUGUAGUGGCAUAUAGCUGUAGAUUUCUUUCCAGCUUUACUUUCCAGCCUUGUUUCCUACUGUAGUUUUAGUGGGUAAGCCGAUGAUGUUGAGGGCGGUACCCACUGAGGACUACUUGUUUUUACAGUAGUUCUCACGCCCAGUUGCUCCCUGUGUUUUGCAGAGCCUUCUGUUCCGGCGGCUGCAGCUUCUGAGACCGAUCGAGGGAAGGGUGUCGCGAGCUAGAGCCCAACCUGAUUAGUCGCCGUGCUAGAGGAUCCCCAGUUGCAGGUAGUAGAGUUUUAUUUUUCGAUUUUAUGUACAUACUGAUACUGAACUCGCUGGAGCGAGUGGUUUGUACUUUGUAUAGUAUGUGUACAUUUGAGAUGCUUUCUUUUUGGUUCUACCUGCUUAGUUCUUUACAGCUCUACGCUACUGUUUGUAGCAUUAUUUGUUUACAGAUACUGUGAUUGCUUCGUAUACAGAAAAAAUUUCUUGUAUACGGCGGAUCUAUUAGCGUGCCGGGAAAAGUGCUAUCCGGGGCGUGACAGAUUAAUUUGGUAUCAGAGCUUAGCUAUAGGUCGUUGGGACUUUGAAAACCUAAGUUUGGCAACAUUAGGAGGACAAAACGGGAGAGGCGUAAUUUAUUGCGAAAGUCAAUGAUUAGUGUUCUAACUCCUCCGAGAGUGGGGUGAGUGAUUGAAGGAGUACCUGUUCGGGCCUGAGAAAUUAUGUUGGCUGCAGACGACAUAAUUUUGGAGGAAAACAGGGGCUGCCUUCCAGACUUUCGUUGAUUGGGUCGAGGGUGCUUAUAUUUAUCUGACCCUGCUUUUCUUUUUGCAGCUAUGUAUCGUCGUCGAGGUCGACCGCCAACGUAGGACCGGGCACAGUUGGCACAUGAUCGUGUGGGACCUUCUGAGAUGCCUGAGCAGGCGGAGCUGAGUGCCCGACAGGAGCAGAGUGUUCGACCGGAGGCGAGUGCAUCCCCGGAUUUGACUGCACAGUUAGCCGCCCUAACAGAGGUGACGAGGCGGCAGGGGGAGUUGUUGGAGAGGCUAUGUGAGAGGAUAGCCCCACCACAGAGUGCAGCACCCGGAGUACCCGAGCAGACGGUUCCACCUCCCACGACUCCAGCCGCAGCACGAGCCACAGCUGUACCCCCACCAGCGGCAGUUCCAGUAGCGCCAGUUGCACCUCUUAGAGGACCAGUCCAGAUGACCGAGGCUGAGCAGGAGCGGAUGACAGAGAGGCUUGCUCGUUUUCGCCGUUUCGAUCCGCCGACCUUUGAUGGCCGAUGUUCAGAGGAGUGGGUCGUUGAGGGUUGGGUUAGUGCGAUGGAGAAGCUUUUUGAGGAUUUAUAUGUUCCUGAGAGAGAGCAGGUAUCUUAUGGAGUUCACUGUUUGGUUGGCGACGCUCACGCCUGGUGGAAGAGGGUGAGGCGAGACUACGGAUUGGUAGCUUUGCAGAUGAGGUGGGACGAGUUCUGUGGAAUGCUGUAUGGGAUGUAUUUUCCCAACAGUGUGAAACAGAAACUCGAGGAGGAUUUGAAGAGGAUCCAGCAGGGGGAUCGGUCGGUACAAGAGUACAUUCGGGAGUUUACUCGACUCCUGAACUGUGUGCCUUUUGUGGCUAGAGACGAGGCACACAGGGUGUACCUCUUCGAGCAGGGUUUGCGACCGGAGAUUUUCAGGCUCGUGCAGGCGCAGAGGUUGAGGACCCUGGAUGCGUCCAUGGAGCAGGCACUGUGGAUUGAGCGAGGUGAUGCAUCCAUCCGAGAGAGGACUCAGGCAGCGGGACAGAGUCAGGAGAGGAAGCGCCCGGCUCCAGAUGAUGGUGGACAGUCGAGCAGCCGGCGUCCGCCGAGACCUCCACGAUCACGUUCUCAGGGUCGUGGGUUCUCGGGGCGUCAGCGUUCUGGGGGAUCACAGCAGUAGAGGCAGUCACAGGGAUUACCACCAUGUGUGAUUUGUGGAGGACCGCACUGGGCCCGGCAGUGUGAGCAGCGUGAGGGCCGAUGUUUUGGAUGUGGACAGCCGGGGCAUAUGAGGUCUGCUUGCCCCCGAGCGGCAUCACCAGCGCCAUCGACUGCUUCAGCAGCAUUCGGAUCUCAGCAGUUUUCUGGAGCACCGCAGAGUUACCGCCGGGAGGACAGGGCAUCUGCGCCGCGUCAGGGUGAGCGGCGACAGCAGGCUCCGAGUGGCAGAGUAUAUGCAGCUCAGGUGGAGGACUCUUCAGCAGCCGACCGAGUGGUGGCAGGUAUUGUUUUGAUCUCUGGCAUUAGAGCUCGUACCCUUUUUGAUACAGGUGCAUCUCAUUCCUUUGUUAGCCGAGCAUUUGCAUUGUUGCAUGGUCUAGCGUUAGGAGCUUUGUCACAGGCACGAGAGGUGCAUAUCCCCGAUCAUGUAUUACAGGUUGCAGAGUGUUGUUGGUCGUGUCCGGUGCAGUUGGAUUCGUGGAUCCUGCCCGCAGACCUAUUGGUUUUAGGGCAGCUGCAGGACUUCGAUGUGGUGCUCGGUAUGGAUUGGUUGGCCCGGUACUUUGCUACGAUUGAUUGUGAAUGGAGGACAGUGACGUUCCGUGAGCCAGGCCAGGAGGAGUUUACUUUUAGAGGAUGCAGGAGUACAUUGUUCGCUACUUGGAUAUCUUCGGCGAGGGCUCGACAGCUGAUGAGCAGGGGAUGCAUCGCGUUUUUGGCGACGGUAGUAGAGCUACCUACGACGGCGCCGGGACUUGAGGAUAUCCCUGUAAUCUGCGAGUUUUCGGAUGUAUUUCCCCCUGAGUUGACGACGAUGCCGCCUGAGAGGGAGAUUGAGUUCGUGAUUGAUGUAGUUCCUGGAACUGCACCAAUUUCGAAGGUGCCUUAUCGGAUGGCACCGACGGAGCUGAGAGAGCUAAAGGCGCAGCUUCAGGAUCUUAUGGAUAAGGGGUAUGUGAGACCCAGUGUGUCGCCUUGGGGAGCGCCGGUGUUGUUUGUGAAGAAGAAGGAUGGUUCACUUAGGCUGUGUGUGGAUUACCGGGAGCUGAAUAAAGUGACCAUCAAGAAUAAGUAUCCCUUGCCGCGCAUUGAUGAUUUGUUUGAUCAGCUGCAGAGAUCUUAUGUCUUCUCGAAGAUUGAUCUCCAGUCCGGUUACCACCAGUUGAGGGUGAGGGCCGAGGAUGUUCCCAAGACGGCUUUUCGGACUCGGUACGGGCAUUAUGAGUUCACAGUGAUGCCUUUUGGAUUGACGAAUGCCCCUGCCGCAUUCAUGGAUUUGAUGAACAGAGUGUUCAAGCCGUUCUUGGAUAGAUUUGUGGUAGUCUUCAUCGACGACAUCUUGAUAUACUCCCGGAGCGAUGCCGAGCAUGAGGAGCACUUGAGGAUUGUGCUACAGCUUCUGCGAGAGAAGAAGCUGUAUGCCAAGUUAAAGAAGUGCGAGUUCUGGUUACGGGAGGUUGCUUUCUUGGGCCACGUGAUUUCAGCUGAGGGCGUAGCAGUGGACCCGAAGAAGAUUGAGGCGAUUCGAGAUUGGCCGAGACCGACGACGGUGACUGAGGUACGGAGUUUCCUGGGACUGGCAGGAUAUUACCGUCAGUUUGUGGAAGGCUUUGCGAAGCUUUCCACACCCCUCACUUGCUUGACGCGGAAGGGGAUUCGAUUUGUUUGGAGUGACGACUGUCAGAGGAGCUUUGACGAGUUGAGACUGAGGUUAAUGUCAGCUCCUAUCCUUGCCCUUCCUGUGAUGGGCGAAGGAUUCGUGAUCUAUAGUGAUGCAUCGCACAGUGGACUUGGUUGUGUGCUGAUGCAGCAUGGUAGGGUAAUUGCUUAUGCUUCGCGGCAGUUAAAGGAUUAUGAGAAGAAUUACCCUACGCAUGACUUGGAGCUUGCCGCGGUGGUUUUUGCUUUGAAGUUGUGGCGGCAUUACUUGUACGGCGAGCACUGCGAGGUUUUCACCGAUCAUAAAAGUCUCAAGUAUCUGUUCACUCAGAGGGAGCUGAACCUGAGGCAGCGCCGGUGGUUGGAGUUACUGAAGGAUUAUGACAUUAGUAUUCAGUAUCACCCCGGCAAGGCGAAUGUAGUGGCAGAUGCGUUGAGCAGGAAGUCAGUGCAGAGCCUGAGUUUGAUUAUCACUGAGCAGAGACCCUUACUCGAGGAGCUGCAGCGGCUGGGACUUGAGAUAGUACCCCCUGGGUCUACGGCGAGGCUGACAUCUCUAGUUUUGCAGCCCACUCUGUUGGAUAGGAUCCGAGAGAAACAGAGUGGAGAUCCGUACUUGUUAAGGAUUAGAGAGCAGCUAGACAAGGGGCAGGCUGAGGGUUUUACUUUGGACAGUUCAGGAGUACUACGGUACAGGGACCGACUGUGUGUGCCAGUGGAUUCAGAUAUUCGAGCAGAUAUUUUGAGAGAGGCGCAUUGUUCUCCUUACACGGUUCACCCUGGUGGAACAAAGAUGUAUAAGGAUUUAAAGGCACAGUUCUGGUGGCAUGGAUUGAAGAGAGACAUUGGUAGAUUCGUGGCUCAGUGUUUGACUUGCCAACAGGUGAAGGCCGAGCAUCAGGUACCUGCUGGCAAGCUUCAGAGUCUGCCAGUGCCCGAGUGGAAGUGGGAGAAGAUCAUGAUGGAUUUUGUUGUUGGAUUGCCUAGAGCACAGGGUGGUUAUGAUGCGAUUUGGGUGAUAGUGGACAGACUGACCAAGUCUGCCCACUUCCUACCAGUUCAGACCACCUGGUCCAGUGAGAGACUCGCACAGCUUUAUCUGGAUGAGAUUGUCAGGCUACAUGGUGUGCCAGCAUCGAUUAUAUCAGACCGAGACCCGAGGUUCGUGUCUCAUUUCUGGAGGAGUUUACAGACAGCUUUGGGGACUCAGUUAUAUUUCAGCACAGCAUUUCACCCACAGACGGAUGGUCAGUCAGAGCGGACCAUUCAGACUCUAGAGGACAUGCUGAGAGCAUGCGUCCUGGACUUUGGAGGAGGGUGGUAUCGACACUUGAGGCUAGCAGAGUUUGCGUACAACAACAGCUAUCAAACAAGCAUUCAGAUGGCUCCGUUUGAAGCGUUGUAUGGACGCAAGUGUCGAUCCCCGUUAUUUUGGAGUGAUGUGGGUGAGAGGAGGACACUUGGGCCUGAGUUGUUGCUAGAGGCUGAGGAGAAGGUGAGAGUUGUUCGACGACACCUUCUGACAGCCCAGAGCCGACAGAGGAGCUAUGCCGAUACUAGGAGACGAGACUUGGAGUUCCAGGUUGGAGAUCAUGUAUUCAUUAAAGUCUCGCCAUCCAGAGGGAUUCGCCGAUUUGGAGUACGUGGGAAGCUCAGUCCACGUUUUGUAGGCCCUUUCGAGGUAUUGGAGCGAGUUGGACCAGUAGCGUACAGGAUUGCUUUACCACCCCGACUUGCUGGGAUUCAUGAUGUGCUCCACGUCUCGGCGCUGAGGAGAUAUGUUUUCGAUUCUUCUCACGUGAUUGACUUCACUCCACUCGAGAUUGGUGAGGACCUGAGAUACGAGGAGCGACCGGUGCGGAUUCUUGCUCGUGAGACGAAAGAAUUGCGCAGCCGGAUCAUCCCGUACGUGAAAGUGCAGUGGAGCCAUCACGAGGAGCGGGAAGCGACUUGGGAGCCCGAGACGGUGAUGAGGGAGUCGUAUCCCGAUCUGUUUGAUUCUCCGUGUUGAGGUAUGUUUUAAGUUUCGAGGACGAAACUUUUUUUUUUAGUGGGGGAGGAUGUAGUAUCCUUAUUUUAUUUUAUUUUUUUUUAUUUAUUUACUUAGUCGGUUGAUGAUGCAUGGGGGUGGUUUUGGAUGCCACGUGCACCCCCAUCCAUCAUUAUCUUGUGGCCUAUUUAGCUAUGAGAGACAGUGAGGGAUAUUGAUGUUUUGCAAUUCCUCUCUCUCUCUAGAUUGAAGUGGAGAGCUCGUGGAGGCCACAGUUGAGCUUGGAGCGACGUCAACUUCGCGCCGGCGAUCUGUUGGAGCGUGUGUGCGUCGUGGUAGUGCCGUUGGAGGCCGAGCGAGCAUGGAAAGUUCUUCUCCUAUCGACUUUUCACUGUUCUGGAUUAGCUUUUGAGGUGGGUUUAUUAUCGGAAUCCUACUCCUAUAAUAUUGUUCAUCGACAUGUAUCGUUAAUAUUACAAGUUGUUAUUGUUUAGCUCAAAUUCAUGAGUAGGUAUGUUUUAGACAUAUAAACUGAAUUGGGAGCAUGUUAUUAGUUGUUAUUAAUCAUACAUAUGGGACUUGGAUAAAACAUAGGAGAAAACCAGCGUUCGGAACCUGGCAUAUGUGGAAUUACCUGAUUUAGCCUUAGGGGCCGUUGUAUUUUUAUACAGUUGUUGUAUUCGGGUUGUGAGUACCCCAGGUAGUUUAGUUUACUGUUACACUCGUGCUGGGAUGCCGAGUUUAUUUUAUAGUCAUGUUUAGACUGUUCUGGACUAGUGGGUGCCGUCGUGGUUGACGGUGGACCCAGAUUUGAUCAUUUUGAGAUUUGAUUGUGCCGAGGGCACGUGGAUAGUGGUUAGUGGUUCAGUGAGACCUAUUGCUUGACUUAGCCUGUGAGGGCAGCCUGAGAUUGACAGUAAUCUCGUUGGGUCGCGCCCACGAGAGCCAUUCCGGAAUGAUGUUUCAGUGCGAUCGGUGUCGCAGUUUCUGUUAAAUAGUUAUGCGCCGGCCACUUGCGGGGUGGUGUACGGCAUAACUGAUUACAGGCAGAGUGGGUCCGUUUGGACAGCUCAAAUGAGAUUUGUGGUGAAUCAGUUUGAAAUGCGAUUGGGUCAAGUGCAUAUUAGAUACAGUAGGAUAGUGUAGUGGCAUAUAGCUGUAGAUUUCUUUCCAGCUUUACUUUCCAGCCAUGUUUCCUACUGUAGUUUUAGUGGGUAAGCCGAUGAUGUUGAGGGCGGUACCCACUGAGGACUACUUGUUUUUACAGUAGUUCUCACGCCCAGUUGCUCCCUGUGUUUUGCAGAGCCUUCUGUUCCGGCGGCUGCAGCUUCUGAGACCGAUCGAGGGAAGGGUGUCGCGAGCUAGAGCCCUACCUGACUAGUCGCCGUGCUAGAGGAUCCCCAGUUGCAGGUAGUAGAGUUUUAUUUUUCGAUAUUAUGUACAUACUGAUACUGAACUCGCUGGAGCGAGUGGUUUGUACUUUGUAUAGUAUGUAUACAUUUG
rnacentral:lncRNA from 1 species